rnacentral:rRNA from 1 species
CGAGCACGCGCGUGUGGCAUAUCAAUAAGCGGAGGAAAAGAAACUAACAAGGAUUCCCUUAGUAACGGCGAGUGAAGCGGGAAGAACUCAAAUUUGAAAUCUUCAAGGUUCUACCUUGACGAAUUGUAGUUUAUAGAAGUGUUUUCUGUUAGUGGAGUGGCAAAAGUUCUUUGGAAUAGGACAUCAUAGAGGGUGAGAAUCCCGUAUUUGGUCAUUCCUUCCUAGCGUUGUGAUACACUUUCAACGAGUCGGAUUGUUUGGGAAUGCAGUCCAAAAUGGGUGGUAAAUUUCAUCUAAAGCUAAAUAUUGGCGAGAGACCGAUAGCGAACAAGUACCGUGAGGGAAAGAUGAAAAGAACUUUGAAAAGAGAGUUAAACAGUACGUGAAAUUGUCAAAAGGGAAGCGUUUGACACCAGUGUUGUUUUUCCGAAAAUCAAUUACGAAUGUUUUAGUUUUUAAGGAGUUAUGACUUCAUCGGCUUGCUUCUCUCUUUAUGAAACUUUCUUAAUGCACUUUUCGGUUAACAAGUCAACAUCAAUUUCUUUUGUUGUAAAAGGGUAUGAGGAAGGUGGCUUUCUUUUCGGAGAAAGUGUUUAUAGCCUUGGACCUCUGCAAUCGGAGAGAUUGAGGUCCUGCAGCGUAGAUCCUUCGGGGUUAGAUACACUUGUGCUAAGUUAUAGCUUUUCAUAGACAACUUGUUGACUAUGUUUAGUCUUGUAGCUUACUCGCCUAUGCUAUUUUACCUACGCUUAGGAUGUUGAGUAGCGACAUACGCAC